GGGGUCUUGGCUCAGUGGUAGAGCGUUUGCUUAGCGGCUUGCAACUGGUCGAGUACGGUUCAGAUCUUGCAUAAGGUCGCGGGUUCGAUUCCUGCAGACUCCA
rnacentral:tRNA from 1 species